rnacentral:rRNA from 1 species
CGAACGGGUGAGUAACACGUGAGCAAUCUGCCCUUGACUCUGGGAUAAGCGUUGGAAACGACGUCUAAUACCGGAUACGAGCUGUGAAGGCAUCUUCAACAGCUGGAAAGAAUUUCGGUCAAGGAUGAGCUCGCGGCCUAUCAGCUAGUUGGUGAGGUAAUGGCUCACCAAGGCGUCGACGGGUAGCCGGCCUGAGAGGGUGACCGGCCACACUGGGACUGAGACACGGCCCAGACUCCUACGGGAGGCAGCAGUGGGGAAUAUUGCACAAUGGGCGCAAGCCUGAUGCAGCAACGCCGCGUGAGGGACGACGGCCUUCGGGUUGUAAACCUCUUUUAGCAGGGAAGAAGCGAAAGUGACGGUACCUGCAGAAAAAGCACCGGCUAACUACGUGCCAGCAGCCGCGGUAAUACGUAGGGUGCAAGCGUUAUCCGGAAUUAUUGGGCGUAAAGAGCUCGUAGGCGGUUUGUCACGUCUGCUGUGAAAACUGGAGGCUCAACCUCCAGCCUGCAGUGGGUACGGGCAGACUAGAGUGCGGU